CAAAAGUUUGAAUGCAUGCAAAACUGAAGAUUUUUUAUAAGUUGAUCGUCUUGAGUCCUGCAGAUUCUGUUCAAUGAAAAGUCAGAUUUAUAUGUGCAUAGAGACAUCUGUUCUACAUGGCUCUCCACCUUGGCUGCAGUUCAAUUUUCACUGACUUCCAUGAACUCCGUUAUGAAACCCAAGUGCAAUCCUCUCUUUGCACCAGGAUCAGCCUGUGACUCCUGAACACAGACCUGCAGCUUACAGAUGCCCUCAGCCACCUCUCCCGAAGCACAUGGCUAUGUUCAUCCCAGAAAUGAGAGAAGGCUUGAGGAGAAAACCUGCAAGACAGUGAGUGAGUACCAGUGUUAGAAAUAUUGCCUGACA